GACGAACGCUGGCGGCGUGCUUGACACAUGCAAGUCGAACGGAAAGGCCUGCUUUCCCUUGUGGUUUGCGGGUACUCGAGUGGCGAACGGGUGAGUAACACGUGAGUGAUCUGCCCCCAACUUGGGUAUAAGCCUGGGAAACUGGGUCUAAUUCCCGAUAGGACUGCAGGGUGGUGCCUGUGGUGGAAAACGUUCUUCUACUGGUUGGGGAUGCGCUCGCGCCCUAUCUACUUGUUGGUGGGGUGAUUGCCUACCAAGGCGGCGACGGGUAGUCGGCCUGAGAGCGUCGACGGUCGAAUUGAGACUGGGACAAGGCUCCGACUGGUACGAGAAGAAGCGGUGGGGAAGAAAGGGCAAUGAGCGGAAGCCUGAUGCAGCGCGGCAGCGUGGGGGAUGUCGGCAUUGGGGUUGUAAACUCCUUUCGACCGCGAGGAAGCCACCUGGUUGGAAGGGUGGUGACGGUAGUGGUAGAAGAAGCACCGGCUAACUACGUG
rnacentral:rRNA from 1 species